rnacentral:tRNA from 1 species
UCCUAGGUAGCUCAGCUGAUAAAGAAUCUGCCUUCAAUGCAGGAGAUCUGGGUUCGAUCCUGGGUUGGGAA